rnacentral:lncRNA from 1 species
AUAAAUCUUGCUUUAGACAUAUGGUUAGAACAUCCAUUAUCCAAAAACCAAAUCUCAUUUAAUUCAUCUUUAAUAUGAUAACAAGCCAUGAAUAACUUACUUUCUUCUUCUACAUAACUGACAUGCUUUUCUUUGUUCCAAUAAUUUGCCUCUAUGUGCCCAAAUUUCUUGCAAUGAUGGCAUUGAAUUCCAUUUUGGUUGCCUCGAUACUCAUUGGAUGAUCGUCGGUGAUCAUCAAAUCACCCAUG